UCGAGCGGUAACAGAGAGUAGCUUGCUACUUUGCUGACGAGCGGCGGACGGGUGAGUAAUGCUUGGGAAUAUGCCUUAUGGUGGGGGACAACAGUUGGAAACGACUGCUAAUACCGCAUGAUGUCUACGGACCAAAGUGGGGGACCUUCGGGCCUCACGCCAUAAGAUUAGCCCAAGUGGGAUUAGCUAGUUGGUGAGGUAAUGGCUCACCAAGGCGACGAUCCCUAGCUGGUUUGAGAGGAUGAUCAGCCACACUGGGACUGAGACACGGCCCAGACUCCUACGGGAGGCAGCAGUGGGGAAUAUUGCACAAUGGGCGCAAGCCUGAUGCAGCCAUGCCGCGUGUGUGAAGAAGGCCUUCGGGUUGUAAAGCACUUUCAGUAAGGAGGAAAGGUUAAGUGUUAAUAGCACUUAGCUGUGACGUUACUUACAGAAGAAGCACCGGCUAACUCCGUGCCAGCAGCCGCGGUAAUACGGAGGGUGCGAGCGUUAAUCGGAAUUACUGGGCGUAAAGCGUACGCAGGCGGUUUGUUAAGCGAGAUGUGAAAGC
rnacentral:rRNA from 1 species